UACGGGGGGAGCAAGCGUUGUUCGGAUUUACUGGGCGUAAAGGGCGCGUAGGCGGCCACCGCAAGUCGACUGUGAAAUCUCCGGGCUUAACCCGGAAAGGUCAGCCGAUACUGCGGGGCUAGAGUGCAGAAGGGGCAACUGGAAUUCUCGGUGUAGCGGUGAAAUGCGUAGAUAUCAGGAGGAACACCGGUGGCGAAGGCGGUUCUCUGGGCAUUACCUGACGCUGAGGAGCGAAAAGUGUGGGGAGGCGAACAGG
rnacentral:rRNA from 1 species